rnacentral:rRNA from 1 species
UACGAAGGGGGCUAGCGUUGCUCGGAAUCACUGGGCGUAAAGGGUGCGUAGGCGGGUCUUUAAGUCAGAGGUGAAAUCCUGGAGCUCAACUCCAGAACUGCCUUUGAUACUGAGGAUCUUGAGUUCGGGAGAGGUGAGUGGGACUGCGAGUGUAGAGGUGAAAUUCGUAGAUAUUCGCAAGAACACCAGUGGCGAAGGCGGCUCACUGGCCCGAUACUGACGCUGAGGCACGAAAGCGUGGGGAGCAAACAGG